rnacentral:rRNA from 1 species
AUUGAACGCUGGCGGCAGGCCUAACACAUGCAAGUCGAGCGGAUGAAGAGAGCUUUCCCCUUCUGUCAGCGGCGCACGGGGGUGUAUUACCCAUGAGUCUCCCUGCUAGUAGGGGAUGACGACCGUUAGAGAGCGCUACUACCUCCUACGUACUACAGUUAAAACUGGGUUAUCUUCUGAACUCACGCUCUCAGCCUCUCCUAGAUCGGAUUAGCUAGUGGGUGGGGUAAAGGCCUACCAAGGCGAACAUCCGUAACUGGUCUGAGAGGAUGAUCGGCCACAUUGGAACUGGGACACGGUCCAGACUCCUACGGGAGGCAGAAGUGGGGAAUGUUGGACAAUGGGCGAAAGCCUGAUGCAGCCAGGCCGCGUGUGUGAAGAAGGUCUUCGGAUGGUAAAGCACUUUGAGUGGGGAGGAAGAGCAGUAAGUUGAAACCUUGCUGUUUUGACGGUACCAAAAGAAUAAGCAACGGCUAACUACGUG